AACAUCAUUUUUAUCGCUCACACUGACCCCAUACUCUUUUUUUAGAGAGGGAAGACGCAAUUUUCGAGUUCCUUCUGGUUUUCGGGGUCGGUAAGAAGCGUAGACAGAAUCUCAAGACCGUUGCUGGGCGCCUGAUGUUGAUUUUUUUCAUAAAAAGAGGAUACAUUUGGAAUCAGCUGUUUCUACAAUU
rnacentral:snoRNA from 22 species